ACAUUUGUCAUAUUCCUAAACCUAUUUGUGUAUUUUUAUAAUACUUGUAUUGUCAUUAAUGUUCAUGAAUGUGCAAUUGACUUUAAUAUUUGGUUUUAAAUAUUAACAUUUCAAAAGAUAAUUGCUCAAAUUGAAGCACUGUAAGUGACUGCUUAUGAUUGAGUUUUAUAAGUGAUAUAUAUGUACAAAAUAUAUCAUUCAAUUACUUACAAAAGUAAAGAAGAUAUUCCAUGAAGAUGCCUUUAUGACAGAUACCAGUGAAAGUGUAAAAAAGAUUUUGAAAUUAACAGGAGUGAAAUUGAAGAUUGCAUUAAAUCAAGAAGAAACAACACUUAAAAAAAUAUAUUAUGAACAUAGGGUGUAUUAGUGGAUUCAGUUCAACCAAAUGGUGACAUAUCACUGAUUAUAGUUGAACUUUUAAAUCUGGAACUAGUUCCAACACAUUGGGAAACAUUAAGGAUGUAAACUACUGUGAAGUAAUUAUACAUAGUCGUGGAUAAACAUCAUACAUAAGUUUGGAUAAAAUCUUUUUUACUGCUUAAGGAUUGUCUUGAACAAGAGAAUACUCCCUUUAACAGUUGUGGCUUCAUCCAUGAAGAACCACAUGGAGAUGGAAUUCUCUAGAGGAAGAAAUAUGAGAAUAAGAAUAGGACAAAUUCAGGAUGUUCUUACACAUCAGUAUGGUUAGGAAGAGUGUGCGUUUGAUAUGUACAUUUUAAGUUGUGGAAGAUCUUCAAUAGGUCUAAUGUGAGUUCCAAAUGUCACAUUAUUCUUUAUAAGUUUCUGCAAGAUUAUCUUCAUAGUUACUACCAAAGAAAAGAUGUGACCUUGUAGUCUAUACAUAUAGUUUUAAUCUGUAUAUCUGGAUUUUGAUACUAUUUCUACGUACUCUGGAAGCCAUUCUUGUCUUCUCAUUAUUGCUGUCUAUAACUACAUUUUAAAUCAAAGCCUGUAAGAAUCAAAUUUGUUGUGAUAAUUUCAUGGAAAGAAAAAUGACAACUUUUUUAAAUAUUUUCAGUUUUUAUAUUUUGACACGUAUGACACAAUAAACUUUCAACUAAAUAACAUAAGUAUGUACAUGUAUUUACAAUAUACUUUUGCAAUAAAUUGUAGAUCAAUAUAUUUUUUCUUGCAUGGUGAAAUUUCAGCAUUAAUCUUCAUUGGGCGAACUCACUAUGGUUUGAUGGACGUUGUCUAAGUAGGAUGCGGAAUGAUAAUCAAAUUGACACCAGGAUAGGAGUCCUUUUCUAAACAAUGAAAUUGUAUAAUUGGUGAUUCUCUCACUUUCAUUCCAGGAAUUCUUGUGAAAGCAAUAGAUGGUUUAUUUUGAAAGAUU